AUGCAGCCACCCUGGGUCCUAUGCAGCCACCCUGGGUCCAUGCAUCUCCGGGACUCACAGAUGAGAUGGAACUGUCCCACGCAUGUUCUCUGGGGCAGAAACUGCUGCGGAGCCUGCCAAGGCCACUCCUGGGGGGCCAGGGCAGAGCGUCUGACCCAGGAGGCUGUGGCCUUGCCACCCCAGGCCUGGUAUGGCCUGUGGACAGUGGCCCGUCCCACCAGCCACCAGGAACCUCCCUUUAGUGCCCACCCCAUCCACCUCACCAAGACUGAUCUAGAAAUUAUUUAUAGACCCAAACUCCACAGAAACCAUUGUGCCUGCCGUUGCCAUGGCAAUGGGGAUGUGGCAGGAGCACCAGGCUUUCAGGCUUUCCCAGGCCUUUGGUGGCCGGCAGGGGCGAUCAGCGUCUACCAGGAGCCCCUACGUUGCCCACCUCCAGAGACCCCCGGAAGUGAAGAAGACAGGCUUCCCACCUGCUUCCAGCAGGGCUGGCUGCGUCCUGGAAGGCAGCACCGCUGCUUCCUACCUGACUCAACUAUGAUCCUCAAAUGGCCUCCAGGCUUCUGGCCUCGCCCCCAGCCUCCUACCAGCAAUAAUCAAAACCCCACCUCGGCUCAUUGACGGUGGACAGCAUGCCGGUAAGGCAAGACACAGGCAAGGGCACAGGCAAACUUCCCGUGGAGGCCUGGAAAUGAGAUGCUUGGAAGCUAUAUUUUCCAAUAAGGAAGCAAGCUCAGAGAGGCCGAGUGUCUGUCUGAGGUCCCAUAGGUGCAGGUGGUGGAGCUGACACUGAACCUGAAGUCAGGUUCCAGAGCUCCACCCUCGCUCCUGUUACAGGUGUAGCCUCAGAUCAUGGCCCUGUGGCCCAGGCUGGGGUCUGCCCAACACUUCUGCGUCCCACCCACACUCCCCUCCCCAGGAAGAUGCCCCUGAGAAGCCGGGCCACCUGGUUCUCUGCAGUCUCUGCGGCACCUGCCCCGACCUUCAGCCAGGAUCUGCCAGGUUUUAGGACAUCUUAGAGGAUGUUCACUCAGGUGAGAAACCUGUGGAUAACUGUGUGUGCCUAGGAUCAAACAUCACUGUACACACAAACGUGCACUGCACAAUUUUACUCCAUCCGUUGUCGGGAAUGCAGUGAUUUUGCCAGCGGAGGGGAGACUGUUGCGUUGAGAACUUUGGUUCAGAACCCAGGUUUUCACGCUUUGGAAAACCGCAUCCCCAGUGGUCAGGCUGAGUAAGGUAGGUGGGUACUCCAGGUGCCACGCUGGGGCUGGGUGCCAGCGUUUGCUG
rnacentral:lncRNA from 1 species